GAUGAACGCUGGCGGCGUGCCUAAUACAUGCAAGUCGAGCGAACGGACGAGAAGCUUGCUUUUCUGAUGUUAGCGGCGGACGGGUGAGUAACACGUGGAUAACCUACCUAUAAGACUGGGAUAACUUCGGGAAACCGGAGCUAAUACCGGAUAAUAUUUUGAACCGCAUGGUUCAAAAGUGAAAGACGGUCUUGCUGUCACUUAUAGAUGGAUCCGCGCUGCAUUAGCUAGUUGGUAAGGUAACGGCUUACCAAGGCAACGAUGCAUAGCCGACCUGAGAGGGUGAUCGGCCCCACUGGAACUGAGACACGGUCCAGACUCCUACGGGAGGCAGCAGUAGGGAAUCUUCCGCAAAGGGCGAAAGCCUGACGGAGCAACGCCGCGUGAGUGAUGAAGGUCUUCGGAUCGUAAAACUCUGUUAUUAGGGAAGAACAUAUGUGUAAGUAACUGUGCACAUCUUGACGGUACCUAAUCAGAAAGCCACGGCUAACUACGUG
rnacentral:rRNA from 1 species